AAAAAAAUAAUAAACCACUAAUAUAAACGGACAGUUCGUUAAACCGUACAUAUAAUAAUUUCAUCGGAGUGAGAUGAUUAGAUGGAGAUGGAUGAAGAUGGCUGUUUCUUCGGCGAUGACGGCACUCUAGCUACGUUUCACCGGAAGAGUAGAUGUUUACGAUCGUUGCAGAAGACACAUUCGACUAAAAAUUCUAAAAUUUCAAUAAGCUAAGAAGAUAUUCUAAGUUCUGUAUUUUGGAGCGUUUCCUCAUGGGCGUUGCAGUUCACACACGUCACGGAUUCCGCCGAA